rnacentral:rRNA from 1 species
UACAGAGGUCCCAAGCGUUGUUCGGAUUCAUUGGGCGUAAAGGGUGCGUAGGCGGCGCGGUAAGUCGGGUGUGAAAUCUCGGAGCUUAACUCCGAAACUGCAUUCGAUACUGCCGUGCUUGAGGACUGGAGAGGAGACUGGAAUUUACGGUGUAGCGGUGAAAUGCGUAGAUAUCGUAAGGAAGACCAGUGGCGAAGGCGGGUCUCUGGACAGUUCCUGACGCUGGAGGCACGAAGGCCAGGGGAGCAAACGGG